rnacentral:rRNA from 1 species
GACGAACGCUGGCGGCGUGCUUAACACAUGCAAGUCGAACGGUGAAGCUCCAGCUUGCUGGAGUGGAUCAGUGGCGAACGGGUGAGUAACACGUGAGCAACCUGCCCCUGACUCUGGAAUAAGCGCUGGAAACGGCGUCUAAUACUGGAUACGAGAAGGGUCCGCAUGGGCACUUUCUGGAAAGUUUUUCGGUUGGGGAUGGGCUCGCGGCCUAUCAGCUUGUUGGUGAGGUAAUGGCUCACCAAGGCGACGACGGGUAGCCGGCCUGGGAGGGCGACCGGCCACACUGGGACUGAGACACGGCCCAGACUCCUACGGGAGGCAGCAGUGGGGAAUAUUGCACAAUGGGCGAAAGCCUGAUGCAGCGACGCCGCGUGAGGGAUGACGGCCUUCGGGUUGUAAACCUCUUUCAGCAGGGAAGAAGCGAAAGUGACGGUACCUGCAGAAGAAGCACCGGCUAACUACGUG